rnacentral:rRNA from 1 species
UACGUAGGGUGCGAGCGUUGUCCGGAAUUAUUGGGCGUAAAGGGCUCGUAGGCGGUUUGUCGCGUCGGGAGUGAAAACCCAGGGCUUAACCCUGGGCUGGCUUCCGAUACGGGCAGACUAGAGGUAUGCAGGGGAGAACGGAAUUCCUGGUGUAGCGGUGAAAUGCGCAGAUAUCAGGAGGAACACCGGUGGCGAAGGCGGUUCUCUGGGCAUUACCUGACGCUGAGGAGCGAAAGUGUGGGGAGCGAACAGGA